UCUGGAGAUCUGUCUUUGAUGGAAGAUUUUUCUUGCAAACCCAGAAUCUUCUGAUACGGGGAGAAAUAAAGAGUUCUGUGGAAUGUGCUUGCCACUUGUGAAAUGGAAGUGUCAGCGGAAAGUGUGAAGAUAUUGUGCAGAACAGAGCUUACAUGGAAUGAGAUGAGUUUAUAGAAAGAGGAGAAACCUCUGCACAUCUUUCGUAUUUAGCAUAAGAGAAAUGGAUAGAAGGGAUUUCAGGAAGUCAUGCAUGGCCCAGUGCGGAUCAGCUGUGCUCAGACGCUUGCAAGAACAAAGUCUAAUGGCGUCAGACCAUGCCUAGAAUUGAUCCUUUGUAUCUUUGUCUGGAAACGCUACCCCCUAUUCCUGCAGUUCUAUACAACAGAUGACAGGUGAUUGCUGGAUGCCCAGUGUGAAUUUUUGCAGUGAUACUGAGAAGUUUUUUGCAUUAGGAGCUGAGCCCCAGUCAGGAGGAUGGGAAGCAGAUGGACUGCAGAGAGGUGUCUGCAUCCCGCACCCAGGAAUGUAUGUGCUAUGUUAAGGAGGCUAAUAGAGUGUGUCCCUUUCUGCCUCAUGAUAAAUCCAUCUCCGUGCUGUCAGAAAUAGCUGACGAAUGGGAGCUCUGGGAUUUUUCUCCUCUGAAAUGGUCUAGUCUCGUUUAUCUCUUUUCCUCUUUGCAUAUUGGCAUAUUCCUCCUCUGCAAGUAUUUAUCCGAAGUCUUUACUUGGUGUGUUGGACUAAAGGUCAUAUCAAUUUUUUUCUUUCUCCUUUUCCCCCUCUAGUCCCUCUGUUUCUAAAGAUGUCAAACUAGAUACUGAUGGUUUAUUCUGAUGCCAGAAGGCCUUCAUGAUAUGCAUAUUAGGGUUUUUGUGUUUUAGCGUUGUUUUUUUUUCUCCCAGUAUCUCAGUGUAUUCAAUUUGUAUGCAGAGCCAUCCUCUUACCAUGAGCUCCUAUGCCCAGAUCUGAGGAUUAUGUUCUUAUCCAACAUAUGUACUUAGCCUGAAAUGCUAAAUCUGUGCUACUAGAGGAAUAGUAAGAUGUGAUGGCUAAAGGAGCUAUGUCAAAGUAACCAGUCAGAUCAAACUAUAAAUUGUUCCUGGCAAGAGACAAGAUAAAGAUACUCCCUGAGUGUUUGAAUCCCCUGACCAGUGCUAACUCAUACAUUUAAAUAUUUAUUUUCUGGCUGUGGGGGAUGAAACAAAUAUGGUUUUUACUUGCUUUAAAAAAAAUAUUAAAUUUUUGAUAGUGAUGGAGGAGUUCUUGUGAAUGCUAUUUUCCAAGGUUUAGGGAGGUUAGCAGGGGCCAGAUUUUGGGAGCUUGUAGCAUGAGGACUAUGGAAACAGAGGGUGGCAGUGGCACCGUGGACCUGGGUUGUUCCCCACCUCUUCAGGCUUCCAUGGUAGACCAGGAGCAGUUCUGCAGGUCUCAACUCUACCACAGGGAACCUGCUUUAGCAGGGGGUUGUAUUAGCUGAUCUCCAGAUGUCCCUUUCAACCCCUGCGAUUCUGUGAUUCUAUGUCCCUGUCCUGAGCUGUCCCUGUUACAACAGCCACUUUUGGGAAGGAGGAGAGAGGAUGCUGUAUUUUCCCAUUUUCAGGGAAAGACAACUUUUCUGUUCGGGGAGAAGGUGCUAACACCAUGCUCAUAGCUGGUCUUUUCUCUUUGAGGUCAUUAUGAGGAAGCAGAUGCUGUGUCCUCCUCUGCAGUGCAUCUGGCCUGUGCUGGUGUAUCUCUGAUGCACAUCUGGCUCCAGCCACAGAGGGACUGCUGUUGUACCUUAGUUGUGAUGUUUUCUGAGGGCUUCUGUUACCAUUCACAUCAUCAUACCAGAGUGCUGACUGGUACCUAAAAUGCUGGUGGGGAGCUUAUCCCAGGAUAAGAUACUGGCUAAUCUAGCAGAACUAGGAUUCUGUGCUGAAG